rnacentral:rRNA from 1 species
UACGUAGGGGGCUAGCGUUGUCCGGAAUCAUUGGGCGUAAAGCGCGUGUAGGCGGUCCGGUAAGUCCGCUGUGAAAGUCGAGGGCUCAACCCUCGAAUGCCGGUGGAUACUGUCGAGCUCGAGCACGGUAGAGGCAGAUGGAAUUCCCGGUGUAGCGGUGGAAUGCGUAGAGAUCGGGAAGAACAUCAGUGGCGAAGGCGGUCUGCUGGGCCGUUGCUGACGCUGAGGCGCGACAGCGUGGGGAGCAAACAGG